UGGGGAAUUUUGGACAAUGGGCGAAAGCCUGAUCCAGCAAUGCCGCGUGUGUGAAGAAGGCCUUCGGGUUGUAAAGCACUUUUGUCCGGAAAGAAAUCCUUGGCUCUAAUACAGUCGGGGGAUGACGGUACCGGAAGAAUAAGCACCGGCUAACUACGUGCCAGCAGCCGCGGUAAUACGUAGGGUGCAAGCGUUAAUCGGAAUUACUGGGCGUAAAGCGUGCGCAGGCGGUUUGCUAAGACCGAUGUGAAAUCCCCGGGCUCAACCUGGGAACUGCAUUGGUGACUGGCAGGCUAGAGUAUGGCAGAGGGGGGUAGAAUUCCACGUGUAGCAGUGAAAUGCGUAGAGAUGUGGAGGAAUACCGAUGGCGAAGGCAGCCCCCUGGGCCAAUACUGACGCUCAUGCACGAAAGCUGGGGAGCAAACAGGAUUAGAUACCCUGGUAGUCCACGCCCUAAACGAUGUCAACUAGUUGUUGGGGAUUCAUUUCCUUAGUAACGUAGCUAACGCGUGAAGUUGACCGCCUGGGGAGUACGGUCGCAAGAUUAAAACUCAAAUGAAUUGACGGGGUCAUAGCUGUUUCCU
rnacentral:rRNA from 1 species